UGUGAUGAGAGGCCUUCGAUGGGAUAUGUGUAUGAAGGCAUGUAUAGGGUUCGUUUGGGCAUCAAGAAAUUGUUUAACUACAACAAAAGACUAUACAAGCCUUAUACGGAUAUCAUAAAGCAACGUUGGGAUCAACAACUGAAGAAAAGCAUUCAUUCAGCAGCUUAUUGGUUGAAUCCAUGUUUCCAAUAUGAUCAGGAAAACUUUUGUAAUAAGCCAAAUGUUAUUGGAGGUGUCAUGGAUGUUAUUGAUCAGAAAGUUCUGAAAGGCAAGCUUGAAACAAUGAAUGAAAUGAAGUUAUUUCGUGAUCGAUUGGGAAGUUUUGGAAGAAAACUUGCUUAUUCUUCACGUGAAGUACUUCAACCUGAUGAAUGGUGGAGGCUACAUGGAUAUAGUGCACCACAUUUGCAAAAGUUAGCCAUUCUAAUAUUGAGCCAAACCGCAUCGUCUUCUGGAUGUGAGAGGAAUUGGAGUGUCUUUGAACGUAUACAUACCAAAAGAAGGAAUAGAUUGGAACAUCAAAGGCUUAAUGAUCUUGUAUACGUUCAUUAUAAUUUGCGCCUAAAAAAUCGAUAUAAAUGAUUUCUUAGUUGUUUUGAAUUUAAAUUCUUCUAUUCACAAUUAUGAAUAAUUAUAUGUUUUUUUUUUUAGGUUCUAUAACAAGAAAAGAAUCUAUGAUCCAAUUGACUAUGCAUGCAUUGAUGAGACCGAUUUUUGGGUAGUUGAUGAUGAUCAACCAGCAGAGUUAGAUGUUGAAGAAUUGGAAAAUCUUCUAUAUGAAGAAGGGUCAAUUCCAAUAAAUGAAGUGGAAGGUUCAAGUUCUCACAUUGAUAAUGAGGAUGGUGGUGACGUGGCUAUAGAAAGGCUUGAUGUGGAGAACUUUGGUUUUCCAAAUGCUCAUGUUCAAUCUCCAUAUUCCAAUUUCCAAAAUGAAUGAAGACAUGAAUUUUAUAUUUAUUAGUAUGCAAAAAACUUCAUGAAUAUUCAAACAUUGACAUGUUAUAUUUUUAUUUUGAGUAAUUAUUUAAGUGUUGUGGACC